UGUAUAACUAGUAAUUUUAAUAAAGUAAACAUAUUAAUAAUUACUACUCGUAACAAACAGUAAUUUAAUUUAAGGACGUAUGCACAUCCAGAAAGACACCGUGAAACAUGUUUCAAUGAAAAGAGAGAUCGAACUGUACGCAUGUCAGACUUCAACCAAUUUAAACAGAAAAAAUGGUAACUCUGAUAGUUAUAUCAUUCAGACAACGUUAGACGAAACAUUAUAAAACUUUUAUCAAAACAAGUGUCCAGUCCGUAUAAUUAAUUAAAAUAAAAUGCAAGGAACCAUGCAAUUCUACCGACCUUUGUAGUUGACAAUUGUCAACUUACUUAAGUAAGUACAAAUUACUACUUAACAGUUUUCUACAGCGUAUUAACUUCUGCACAGCUCUGCCAGCGUGUCAUUGGAUUUUCGAGAGAAAAAUAACCACUUCGACUAUCAAUAAAUAGUUUAUUCCACAAGAUUCCACUCUGUACUCACGUUUUAUAGGUCCUGUAUGGUACAACCACGGUUCUUAACCCGGGCGCGAUUCCAUGAUUUCUGUAAGCUAAUAUAACGCUGUUGCGUCCGGACACGUUAAUUAAUAACGUUCCGCGGAACGCCUAUGGGGACCGGUCAGGCGAUAAGUAUUGAUAUAAUGUGUUAUUAUAAUGUAGCGGCGGCAAUUACGGUGGUUCGUUGUCGUGUGAUUCGACGCAGGGGAACGCAAAAUAUAUUAUUCUAAAAGUUUCGUGAUUCUCCGGCGGCGAGUGGCAACCAUAUAGGUACUAUAGGUGCGUUUUGCGCACCUCAUUACCGCGGUGUAUAAUAAUAAUAUAAUAUCAUUAUAAUGGUGUUAUUAUUGCGG